rfam:Firmicutes bacterium CAG:176_59_8 Ley3_66761_scaffold_12926, whole genome shotgun sequence.
GGGGCUGCACCGGUUUCGACGGGGGUGCAGAGGCAGGAUAAGCGAGCGGCGGCGCCUGACCGCCAUAAAACGGGCAACUUAAAAAUUAACUGACAACAAUCGUAUUGCUGUCGCUGCCUAACUAAAGGCAGCCGUCUGAACCGGAGAGGCCACAGGCCGGGGAAGGCGUCGUUAAUGUGGCGUCCGUGCGGCGGGUAAGAGUUGCCCCGCCCACGCAUCAUGACUCUACUGAACCGCGCAGUCUGUCCGGUGUCUGCGCGGGGAGGGAAUGCUGAAACCUGACUGCGCUCGGAGAAGGUCCUGUUGAAGUGCUUUCGGACAGGGGUUCGACUCCCCUCAGCUCCACCA